rfam:Stegodyphus mimosarum contig108735, whole genome shotgun sequence.
GCUUUCGUGGUGUAGGGGUCAAUACGCUCGGCGCAUAUUCGAGAGGUCCGUGGUUCGAGUCCCAGCGAGGGCA